rnacentral:rRNA from 1 species
AGCUCCAAUAGCGUAUAUUAAAGUUGUUGCAGUUAAAAAGCUCGUAGUUGGAUUUCUGGUGGGAGCGAUCGGUCCGACACUCUGUGUGGGUACUUGCAUCGUCUCUGGCCAUCCUUGGGGAGAGCCUGUCUGGCAUUAAGUUGUCGGGCAGGGGAUCCCCAUCGUUUACUGUGAAAAAAUUAGAGUGUUCAAAGCAGGCUUAUGCCGUUGAAUAUAUUAGCAUGGAAUAAUAAGAUAGGACCUUGGUACUAUUUUGUUGGUUUGCGCACCUAGGUAAUGAUUAAUAGGGACAGUUGGGGGUAUUCGUAUUCAAUUGUCAGAGGUGAAAUUCUUGGAUUUAUGGAAGACGAACCACUGCGAAAGCAUUUACCAAGGAUGUUUUCAUUAAUCAAGAACGAAA